CUGAGCCGAAGUUGGACGCCCAACCCACUGCGCCACCCAGGCGCCCCCAUAACAUCUCUUAAACAGAUUGACUUUUUUUUCUUUUAACAUUUCUAGGUAAUGUCCUUGGGAUAAUUCUUAAGGCAAUCCUUUGUGUUUAUUAUCUGUUAGAUGCUAAAUAGAUGGGUUUUUUUGUUUGUUUUACCUUUAAGGUACUGAGUUUUUUUUUCUUUUUUUGAGAUGAAUAUUAUUCUAAAAUUUAAUUCUAGUGAUAGGUAAAGAACUUAUUGGCUUAAUAAUUACUGAAUGACAAAGUGCCAUAAUAAACACCUAAUUACCCAUGUGUCUUGUCAAAUUACGGUAUUACUUAAUGUUCAGAUGUUAAAGUGUUUAGGUUCUGUAAAAACAGUGUUUAGGUCUUUUUUUUUUAACUGAAAAAGGGAAAAAUCUUUUAAUUCAAAUCCAUUGUGUGUAUGCUGCAUAUUUUCGUGGUAGUUAAAUGUUUUAGUGCAACAGGCCCAAAAGGAUCAAUCACUCAUAUGCUUUGGAAUGGUUGGCUGAUAGAAGCACCAAACAGGGAGACCAUUAUGCUGCAGCAUUUCUUAUUAAUCAGACUUAGUCCCUCUACUGGAUUUUACAUUGCUCUUAGGUUUGGCACAGCCAUUAAUGUUGAUAUUGAAUGAAAUAGUCAUAACGAACAUUUAUCAAGUAUUUAUUAUGCUACAGAAAGGAUUAGAACUAACAUUUUUGAGGUUUCCUGUGUGUCAGGUGUUAAUAUGGUAGGCAGGGAAAUAGAUAAAUAAAAUCUGGAUUUUUGCCCUCAUUGAAUUCUCAAUCUAACAUUAGAAAUAAGUGGUUUUUUGAUAGUGAAGAACUUGGAAAUAUUGAUUUUUCUAUUAGGAGAAAAUAAUAUUUCCCAGAAGAGUGAGAAAACUAUUCAAAGUAAUAAUGACUUCAUUUUGAAGAGGAAUUUUUAUGUGUUAUGCUUAUUAACUUUUUAGCUCAGUGGUCUUGUGAUGUGACAAAGUAGCUGCAGUCUUAACUCAUUACCUCUGAAAUUUGUGUGUAAGAUAGAUUAUGUAAGAAAGAUAAAAGAUUUAGUGUCUUAAUUUAAAGCUAAGGAUCAGGUGAAUAUUGUAAACUUAGUGUUUCUGUAAAUUUAGCCUUCAUAUAUUGUAAAUAAAGUUUUACAUAUGAGUGAUACUUUAUUAUUUAUAGAAUUUGUAGGACUUUAAUCUUUUUUUAAAAAUCAUUUCUUUCUGUAGGAAGAGCUUCGAAAUGAGUAAUUUGUAACUAUUCAGCCCACUUGGGGUCAGGCUUUAAUGCAAGAGCCUGAGAUGUGUCAUUCUAAGUCAGAUAAAUUUCUGAUUAGAAGAGUCAGGGGCAUUUUAGGUGAAGCACACGGUUGUGGUUCCAAACUCCUCAAAUAACUUGUUAUUAACCUACUGAACUAUAAUUUUUAUUCUUUUCUUCUGUUAUUUGUGCUAAAAAUUGGAGAUUUUAUGGGUGAGAGGUCAAGGUAGGAGCAGUGAAAGGAUUGUAUAAACGUGUUGGUGUGUCGUUGCCUCUUACCAUCCUAUAUAUCUUGAGAAAGGCUGUCAUUCAAAGAUGUUGCAGCUACUGGUAAGUUAAGCUAGUCCUCAUAUGUUGCUUCACAAAAUUCUAAUGGGUGUGUGUGUGUGUGUGUAUGUCACUUUGAAAUCAUUUUAGACCUACAAGU